AACGAACGCUGGCAGCGUGCCUAACACAUGCAAGUCGAACGUGAUUGGAAGCUUGCUUCCAUGAAAGUGGCGCACGGGUGAGUAACGCGUAGAUAACCUACCUGAUGGAUCGGGAUAACACUUCGAAAGGGGUGCUAAUACCGGAUAAGCCCACGGAGUCCUUGGACACUGCGGGAAAAGGGGGGGACCUUCGGGCCUUCCGUCAUCAGAUGAGUCUGCGUACCAUUAGCUAGUUGGUGGGGUAAAGGCCUACCAAGGCGACGAUGGUUAGCUGUGCUGAGAGGAUGAUCAGCCACACUGGAACUGAGACACGGUCCAGACUCCUACGGGAGGCAGCAGUGGGGAAUUUUGCGCAAUGGGGGAAACCCUGACGCAGCAACGCCGCGUGAGUGAUGAAGGCCCUUGGGUCGUAAAGCUCUGACAGAGGGAAAGAAAUGCAGGGGGGCUAAUAUCCCUUUUGCUUGACGGUACCCUCAAAGGAAGCACCGGCUAACUCCGUGCCAGCCGCCGCAGUAAUAC
rnacentral:rRNA from 1 species